GAUGAACGGUGGCGGGGGGGCGAAUACAUGCAAGUCGAGCGAACAGACGAGGAGCUUGCUCCUCUGACGUUAGCGGCGGACGGGUGAGUAACACGUGGAUAACCUACCUAUAAGACUGGGAUAACUUCGGGAAACCGGAGCUAAUACCGGAUAAUAUAUUGAACCGCAUGGUUCAAUAGUGAAAGACGGUUUUGCUGUCACUUAUAGAUGGAUCCGCGCCGCAUUAGCUAGUUGGUAAGGUAACGGCUUACCAAGGCAACGAUGCGUAGCCGACCUGAGAGGGUGAUCGGCCACACUGGAACUGAGACACGGUCCAGACUCCUACGGGAGGCAGCAGUAGGGAAUCUUCCGCAAUGGGCGAAAGCCUGACGGAGCAACGCCGCGUGAGUGAUGAAGGUCUUCGGAUCGUAAAACUCUGUUAUUAGGGAAGAACAAAUGUGUAAGUAACUAUGCACGUCUUGACGGUACCUAAUCAGAAAGCCACGGCUAACUACGUG
rnacentral:rRNA from 1 species